GACGAACGCUGGCGGCGUGCUUAACACAUGCAAGUCGAACGGUGAAGCGCCUUCCUUUUUGGUGGGUGUGGAUGAGUGGCGAACGGGUGAGUAACACGUGAGUAACCUGCCCCCUUCUUCUGGAUAACCGCAUGAAAGUGUGGCUAAUACGGGAUAUUCUGGGUCUGUCGCAUGAUGGGUCUGGGAAAGAUAUUGUUUCGGUGGGGGAUGGGCUCGCGGCCUAUCAGCUUGUUGGUGGGGUGAUGGCCUACCAAGGCGGUGACGGGUAGCCGGCCUGAGAGGGUGGACGGUCACACUGGGACUGAGGCACGGCCCAGACUCCUACGGGAGACAGCAGUGGGGAAUAUUGCACAAUGGGCGCAAGCCUGAUGCAGCGACGCCGCGUGAGGGAUGGAGGCCUUCGGGUUGUGAACCUCUUUCGCCAGUGAAGCAGGCCUGCCUCGUUUGUGGGUGGGUUGACGGUAGCUGGAUAAGAAGCGCCGGCUAACUACGUG
rnacentral:rRNA from 1 species